UGCAACUGCGGAGAGGUUGGGUGAGGACGACACGUGUUACAUCAUUAUCAAGCAGAGAGAGAACAGGCGGAAAGAAUUCAGUCGAGUGAGCAGCUUCGAUACGGCAACAACUGCAGAGCGCUAUCUGUCACCAGCUUUCUUCAUCGUAUUACCAGUCCGUAAUCAUGGACCCAUCCUCAUCAGCGACGUCAACCUGCAGAAAGAUAGGC